rnacentral:rRNA from 1 species
GUGAGGAAUCUUGCGCAAUGGGGGCAACCCUGACGCAGCAACGCCGCGUGAGUGAGGAAGGCCUUCGGGUCGUAAAGCUCUGUCGGAUGGAAAGAAACGGAUGCGGGUUAACAGCCUUCAUCCCUGACGGUACCAUCAGAGGAAGCACCGGCUAACUCCGUGCCAGCAGCCGCGGUAAUACGGGGGGUGCAAGCGUUAUUCGGAAUCAUUGGGCGUAAAGCGCGUGUAGGCGGCUUGGUAAGUCAGGUGUGAAAGCCCUGGGCUCAACCCAGGAAGUGCACUUGAUACUGCCUUGCUUGAGUACGGGAGAGGAAAGCGGAAUUCCUGGUGUAGAGGUGAAAUUCGUAGAUAUCAGGAGGAACACCGGUGGCGAAGGCGGCUUUCUGGCCCAAUACUGACGCUGAGACGCGAAAGCGUGGGGAGCAAACAGGAUUAGAAACCCGGGUAGUCC